AUUGAACGCUGGCGGCAUGCUUUACACAUGCAAGUCGAACGGUAACAGGCCGCAAGGUGCUGACGAGUGGCGAACGGGUGAGUAAUGCAUCGGAACGUGCCCAGUCGUGGGGGAUAACGCAGCGAAAGCUGCGCUAAUACCGCAUACGAUCUAUGGAUGAAAGCGGGGGACCGUAAGGCCUCGCGCGAUUGGAGCGGCCGAUGUCAGAUUAGGUAGUUGGUGGGGUAAAGGCUCACCAAGCCAACGAUCUGUAGCUGGUCUGAGAGGACGACCGGCCAACCUGGGACUGGGACACGGCCCAGACUCCUACGGGAGGCAGCAGUGGGGAAUUUUGGACAAUGGGCGCAAGCCUGAUCCAGCAAUGCCGCGUGCAGGAAGAAGGCCUUCGGGUUGUAAACUGCUUUUGUACGGAACGAAACGGUCCUGGUUAAUACCCGGGGCUAAUGACGGUACCGUAAGAAUAAGCACCGGCUAACUACGUGCCAGCAGCCGCGGUAAUAC
rnacentral:rRNA from 1 species